UACAUUUUUAUUAAUCAGUAUUUCACAACUUUACAUGAAUAUCAGUGUCAGAAUUCACAAAAUACUUAAAAUUACCUUGAUUUGGUCCUAAAUUUUUCACAAUAACUCCUUUUUCCAGACAUUAAAGCAUGAAACUGGAAGCUUGUCAUCCAGUUUUUCACACUUUUGGGCCAUCAGAGUGUGAUUAUUCUGAAUUUUCCUCCGCUGCUCGGCUCUGAAGCAGUCUGGACGUGAACAAUGCUGCAUUCUCGGGGCGGGUUUCUGCUGUAGAAAGCUGCAGCGCUUCGCAAGGAAGCUGGAAAUGGAAAAAAAAGAAAAAGAAAAAACAAAACUGUCGACUCCUUGUUUCCAUGGCAACCCCUCCAGUGUGUGGACGGAGGGGAGGACGGCAGCGGCGGCGGCAAAGAUGCUCGAGGAUGAGUUCACGACGGGGGAAACGAUUCGUAAUCAUCUCCGAUCCCGGUUGUUUAUUUUUUAUGAUUUUUUUUUUUUAGCUUCGCCCCCGAACAUGAAUUCCUAUGGCUGAAGGAUGCCGGCGGUGCGUUCAAGGUGACGCCUGAUGAGAGGAUCGUCGCUUUUAUUUCCCUCCUCAUUAUUUCAGAGAAGACGAAGGCGCUUUGAUCUGCGGGAAACCAGCCUCUGGAGAGCGGAGGAGCGCGUGGAAGAUGCAUAAUAUGUUUAAACUUACAGCAGCUUCUGAAUCUCCAAACACCUUCCUCCAGAAGCUCGCAUUAUUUCCCCUGACCUCCGUGAAAUUAGCAUCUCCUGCUGCAUAGUUGGGGCUCUGUGGGUCACCAAAAGUCGAAUAAAAACGCAUCAAAGCUACGAGUUAAAGUUUAAAGCUGUAACUGUGAGCAUCAGUCAUGUUUUCUACUCUUGACAUAUAGAAGAAAAUGUAGUUUUCCUGCUAAAUAAAUCAUUUUUUUUAUCACAUUUGAAGCCUUUAAUGGGUGUUUUUGUUUGCAAAUUGGUGCCAGAUACUCCCAAUUUUAUAUUUUUGAGUACUUUUUUGGUGGAAAGGGUUAAAAAAAAAUCAGCUGAACAAAAGGAAAACUCAGUCCAAAUGAUUAAAUAUGAGUUUUUCUUAAAUUAUUCCCAAAGUAGUGACAUUAAAAUCUAGAUUUGAAUGCAAAUGAGUCCAGUUUUCAAAUGAAAAUGUCUCUCCUUUGAAUAAAAUUAAUCUAACAUGAGUGUAUUUCAUAAUUUGACAUUUCUUACUCCAUUAUUGUUUUGCAGACUGGAGCCAAAUGCUCCCAAAUCCCAAUUUUUAUCAGAUAUUUGUGCAUUAAAUCAUUUUUUAAAAGUACUGUGUUAAUAAAAAAGGUUAAAAUCAGCCUAACUAAAUGAAAAUUCAGUUCAAAUGAUUAAAUACGAGCUGUUUUUCUAACAAGUGGUGAAAUUAGAAUCUACAUUUAAAUGCAAAUUAGUCCAGUUUUCAAAUGAAAUCAUCUAAAAAUGAGUGUAUUAAAUAAUUUGACAUUUCUCACUCCAUUAUUGUUUUGCACAGUGGUAUUAAAUACUCCAAAAUGUCCAUUUGUGCAUUAAAUAGACUUUAAGUACAGAAAAGGUUAAAAAAAAUCAGCUGAACAAAAGGAAAACUCGGUCCAAAUGAUUAAAUAAAUCACUUUUAUCAUGUUUGAAGCAUUUAAAAGGUGAUUUUUAUUUCAGUGUGGCCAAAAACUCCAAAAUUCCCAGAUUAUUUUAAAAGUGGUGAAAUUAGAAUAAAGAUUUGAAUACAAAUGGGUCCAGUUUUCAAAUGAAAUCAUCUAAAAUGAGUGUAUUUAAUAAUUUGACAUUUCUCUGUGCUUUCAGAUGAGUUAAGUGGGUUGAGGGGGAAAUAAAUAAGUCAUCCUUUUUGUUUAAUUUAUGGGGUCAUGAGCUAAAAAGGCUGAAAACCACCAGAGAGUCGCCCUCACGCCACUCACAUGGCGGCGCUUCGUCCUUCAAGCUUCGCCGCCGCUUCGUCCUUCGACUGUUUUAGCUUUUAAAUCAGAGCACGGUAAAUUACGUACCAGUUUUGUGUCCACUCCUGUUGUUGCAAUAAAACUUUGCUUUCUGGACACAAAUGGGGACUUUUUGUCUGGAAAAAGCUUCUGGAAGUCCUUCAAAAGUCCAUCUGGAUGCAGAUAAAGCAGAUGAUAAUGGUUUCCCAGAGCUAUUUACAUACGAGGACUCCUAAGGCCAUCAUCUGGGUGCUUUUUUCUGCAAAAAUGAUUGUUUUUGAGUGUAUGAGCUCAGAUCAAAGAGUUGGAGACAACACACUAAGUUGUUUGUAGAAAUGGGAAGCACGGAUCAGAUGAAAGGCUGAAAUUACUUAAUUCUUGGCCUUUCUGUGCUUUUUGUUCUCUGUUGAGUAGCAGCUUCCUCAGACUCCCACCUACUUCCAUUACAUGAUGUUUAUUGCCAUAGCUGUCGGCCAUACAGCGCCGAAAACUGCAGCUCAACCCCCAGCGACAAGACAAAUCCCACUUGGAAUCACUGUUAAAGGAACGAACGGCAACAUGAGGCGUUUUACCAACGGUUUUCAUGAAAUGAAGAAAUUAGUGAGGGCAUGCAUGGCGAUGGCAGCAUCAUGAUGUGAAGCAUGGCGGUGGCAGCAUCAUGAUGUGAAGCAUGGUGGUGGCAACAUCAUGGUGUGAAGCAUGGUGGGGGCAGCAUCAUAACAUGAAGCAUGGUGGGGGCAACAUCAUGAUGUGAAGCAUGGUGGUGGUAGCAUCAUGAUGUGAAGCAUGGUGGUGGCAACAACAUGGUGUGAAGCAUGGUGGUGGCGGCAUCAUGAUGUGAAGCAUGGUGGUGGCGGCAUCAUGAUGUGAAGCAUGGCGAUGGCAGCAUCAUGAUGUGAAGCAUGGUGGUGGCAACAUCAUGGUGUGAAGCAUGGUGGGGGCAGCAUCAUAACAUGAAGCAUGGUGGGGGCAACAUCAUGAUGUGAAGCAUGGUGGUGGUAGCAUCAUGAUGUGAAGCAUGGUGGUGGCAACAACAUGGUGUGAAGCAUGGUGGUGGCGGCAUCAUGAUGUGAAGCAUGGUGGUGGCGGCAUCAUGAUGUGAAGCAUGGUGGUGGCGGCAUCAUGGUGUGAAGCAUGGCGGUGGCGGCAUCAUGAUGUGAAGCAUGGUGGUGGCAACAACAUGGUGUGAAGCAUGGCGGUGGCGGCAUCAUGAUGUGAAGCAUGGCGGUGGCGGCAUCAUGAUGUGAAGCAUGGCGGUGGCGGCAUCAUGAUGUGAAGCAUGGUGGUGGCAGCAUCAUGGUGUGAAGCAUGGUGGGGGCAGCAUCAUGGUGUGAAGCAUGGUGGUGGCAACAACAUGGUGUGAAGCAUGGCGGUGGCGGCAUCAUGAUGUGAAGCAUGGCGGUGGCGGCAUCAUGAUGUGAAGCAUGGCGGUGGCGGCAUCAUGAUGUGAAGCAUGGCGGUGGCAACAUCAUGGUGUGAAGCAUGGUGGGGGCAGCAUCAUGAUGUGAAGCAUGGUGGUGGCGGCAUCAUGAUGUGAAGCAUGGUGGUGGCAACAACAUGGUGUGAAGCAUGGUGGUGGCGGCAUCAUGAUGUGAAGCAUGGUGGUGGCGGCAUCAUGAUGUGAAGCAUGGUGGUGGCAACAACAUGGUGUGAAGCAUGGCGGUGGCGGCAUCAUGGUGUGAAGCAUGGCGGUGGCGGCAUCAUGAUGUGAAGCAUGGCGGUGGCGGCAUCAUGAUAUGAAGCAUGGCGGUGGCGGCAUCAUGAUGUGAAGCAUGGCGGGGGCAACAUCGUGACGUGAAGCAUGGUGGUGGCGGCAUCAUGAUGUGAAGCAUGGUGGUGGCAACAACAUGGUGUGAAGCAUGGCGGUGGCGGCAUCAUGAUGUGAAGCAUGGCGGUGGCGGCAUCAUGGUGUGAAGCAUGGUGGUGGCAACAUCAUGGUGUGAAGCAUGGUGGGGGCAGCAUCAUGAUGUGAAGCAUGGUGGUGGCAACAACAUGGUGUGAAGCAUGGUGGUGGCAACAACAUGGUGUGAAGCAUGGUGGUGGCGGCAUCAUGAUGUGAAGCAUGGUGGUGGCGGCAUCAUGAUGUGAAGCAUGGUGGUGGCGGCAUCAUGAUGUGAAGCAUGGCGGUGGCAACAUCAUGGUGUGAAGCAUGGCGGUGGCGGCAUCAUGAUGUGAAGCAUGGUGGUGGCAACAUCAUGGUGUGAAGCAUGGUGGGGGCAGCAUCAUGAUGUGAAGCAUGGUGGUGGCAACAACAUGGUGUGAAGCAUGGUGGUGGCAACAACAUGGUGUGAAGCAUGGUGGUGGCGGCAUCAUGAUGUGAAGCAUGGUGGUGGCGGCAUCAUGAUGUGAAGCAUGGUGGUGGCAAUAACAUGGUGUGAAGCAUGGCGGUGGCGGCAUCAUGAUGUGAAGCAUGGUGGUGGCGGCAACAACAUGGUGUGAAGCAUGGCGGUGGCGGCAUCAUGAUGUGAAGCAUGGCGGUGGCGGCAUCAUGAUGUGAAGCAUGGUGGUGGCAACAUCAUGGUGUGAAGCAUGGUGGUGGCAGCAUCAUGAUGUGAAGCAUGGUGGAGGCAGCAUCAUGAUGUGAAGCAUGGCGGUGGCGGCAUCAUGAUGUGAAGCAUGGCGGUGGCGGCAUCAUGAUGUGAAGCAUGGUGGUGGCAACAUCAUGGUGUGAAGCAUGGUGGGGGCAGCAUCAUGAUGUGAAGCAUGGUGGUGGCAACAACAUGGUGUGAAGCAUGGUGGUGGCGGCAUCAUGAUGUGAAGCAUGGUGGUGGCAACAUCAUGGUGUGAAGCAUGGUGGGGGCAGCAUCAUGAUGUGAAGCAUGGUGGUGGCAACAACAUGGUGUGAAGCAUGGCGGUGGCGGCAUCAUGAUGUGAAGCAUGGUGGUGGCGGCAACAACAUGGUGUGAAGCAUGGCGGUGGCGGCAUCAUGAUGUGAAGCAUGGCGGUGGCGGCAUCAUGAUGUGAAGCAUGGCGGUGGCGGCAUCAUGAUGUGAAGCAUGGCGGUGGGGGCAUCAUGAUGUGAAGCAUGGUGGGGGCAACAACAUGACGUGAAGCAUGGUGGUGGCAACAUCGUGACGUGAAGCAUGGUGGUGGCAACAUCAUGACGUGAAGCAUGGUGGUGGCAGCAGCUCCUGGAAGGCUUGUAAAGGUAGAGGGUAAAUGAAUGCAGCAAAGUCUGCAGAAAUCCUGGAGGACUACCUGAUGCAGUCUGAAGAGAACUGAGACUUGGAGAAGAUCAGUUUUCCAUCCAGACGCAGCUUCCUCACACUCCCACUUGCUUCCAUUACACGAUGUUUAUUGCCAUAGCUGCCGGCCAUACAGCGCCGAAAACUGCAGCUCAUCCCCCACCGACAAGACAAAUCCCACUCAGAGCCGCUAAUAAAGGACCGAACGGCAACAUGUGGUGUUUUAUCAAAGGUGACAUUGGGUCUCUGGGAGUUUUCUCUUGCGAGGACAAAACCUCUGGAACACUCCAUAUUUUUCUUGUGAAAUUUUGAAACCAUUAUGGAUUUUGCAGAGUGAUUUCAUCCCCCCUCUGACCAAUAAGCAGCCACAUCAUUCCGAGCUGGAAACAAACUCUUUCCCCUCAAGCGACUCUGCAGCAGCGACUCCUUCCUGGCCUCAUUAUGGGGCCAAACUCGACGCCGAGGCUCCUCCGAUAAUGCGAUAAGUCAGAUGAGACUGUGCUUUGUAAUAGUUAGACGCUGAAAACUCUGUUUGCCCUCCCGUGUUGUCGUCUGUUACACAAAUACAAUAAAGAUGUGCUCGGAUGUUAUUCACAAUACAG